GUCUAGAGGCUUCCGCAAUGGGGGAAACCCUGACGGAGCGACGCCGCGUGUGCGAUGAAGGUCCUCGGAUCGUAAAGCACUGUUAGAUGGGAAGAAAUGGAGAUGAUGAAUAGUCAUUUCCGCUGACGGUACCAUCAGAGGAAGCUCCGGCUAACUCCGUGCCAGCAGCCGCGGUAAGACGGAGGGAGCGAGCGUUGUUCGGAUUUAUUGGGCGUAAAGAGCACGUAGGCGGUAAAGUGAGUCUGGUGUGAAAGCCCCGCUGCUCAACAGGGGGAGUGCACCGGAUACUGCUUUACUUGAGUAUAGGAGAGGAAAAUGGAAUUCCAUGUGUAGCGGUGGAAUGCGGAGAUAUAUGGAAGAACACCAGUGGCGAAGGCGGUUUUCUGGCCUAAUACUGACGCUGAGGUGCGAAAGCCAGGGGAGCAAACGGGAUUAGAUACCCGUGUAGUCC
rnacentral:rRNA from 1 species